UAAUAAUAAUAAUAAUAUAUAGAGACAGAACUCAUCAUAUAUGAUAUCAAACCAUCAUUUUCCACUGUUCAUUCCCACUUCUAAAUAGUACAUUCAUUUCAUUAUCCAAAAAUAUCAAUCACAUUUAAAUCAAUGGUGACAUACCUACACUAAUUCCUAUACAAUUACCAAGUAUUUUCCUAAGGUGUAACUGUAAGACAGUCUUUGGUUUUUUACGGUAUUUCCCGCCAUUUGCUCAAGAGGGCAUUAA
rnacentral:misc_RNA from 1 species